UGUUAAGACCUACAGUAACCAUUGGCCUGAACUGAACGCGCAAAGGGCCCAUUACAUCACAAGUGGGACGUAAAACUUUGGGAACCUUCAAUGGUGUUGACUACACCCCGCUUACGAUACUCAUUGUGCAAAAGACGACAUCGGGUCAACAAAGAUAAGGUUAUUUAUAAACAGUGAAAAGCACAGUAAGUGUAUACAAAAUGUUCAAAAUUAGAUGUUUUUGCAGACAAAUUGAACACAAAGUUCAUCAUCAUUUUGACAUCUGGACACACUAUCAUGGACCAACAAAUAUAAUUUGUUUUUUGCAACUGAUAAAACUAUGCAAGUGGAAAAAUGUUGAUGUCGUGUUGUUCUUGCACGACAUAAACGAUAAUGUCGUCGCUUAAUUACCCCAAAAAAUUAUCAUGUCGAGGUUGUGAAUUGUGAUCUGUAUCAAUCAGGACCAAAACUGGAUAAAAUUGAUACAAUGGGCCGUAUGAAUAAAAGUAAGCAAAUGCUUAUACUUGCAAAAUUCAAAGUAAAUACUCGUAAGUGCUCCUUCGCACUGGGCGACUUAGCAGCGCUUUUAAAGCAGAAGGACAGGACGCAGUGCAGCGCUGCUAAACCAUGCUAAACAGACCAGUAUGAAGGGACAGUUACGAGUAUUUACUUUGAAUUUUGCAAGUAUAAGCAUUUGCUUACUUUUAUUCAUACGGUCCAAUGUGUUUGGACGGGGUUCAGAAAACAAGAUUUUGACACCUCUUAGUCAAAACGUGUGGUCAUUUGGUACCAAAAUUGACGAUGCACAAAGAAAGAUUCUCAACUACCUACAUCAAGUUUUAGCGCAUUCAUUAAAUUUUCGGAAGAUAAUCAGGAAUAUAUUAGCCGAGACUUAAAAACCUCGAAGACGCUAUAGAAACAGAGUCAACUGUCAAACUUAAUUAAUAUUUCUAAUUAGUCACUAAUUAAUAUAACGACAUUAUUAUGCUCAAAAAUUCAAUUGUUGCGAAUAUCACAUAAUUAAAACUGAAUUAUUUGAUUUGUAA